GAUGAACGCUGGCGGCGUGCCUAAUACAUGCAAGUCGAGCGAACGGACGAGAAGCUUGCUUCUCUGAUGUUAGCGGCGGACGGGUGAGUAACACGUGGAUAACCUACCUAUAAGACUGGGAUAACUUCGGGAAACCGGAGCUAAUACCGGAUAAUAUUUUGAACCGCAUGGUUCAAAAGUGAAAGACGGUCUUGCUGUCACUUAUAGAUGGAUCCGCGCUGCAUUAGCUAGUUGGUAAGGUAACGGCUUACCAAGGCAACGAUGCAUAGCCGACCUGAGAGGGUGAUCGGCCACACGGGAACUGAGCCCCGGCCCAGACCCCUACGGGAGGCAGCAGUGGGGAAUUUUCCGCAAUGGGCGAAAGCCUGAAGGAGCAACGCCGCGUGGGUGAUGAAGGUCUUCGGAUCGUAAAACUCUGUUAUUGGGGAAAAAAAUAUGUGUAAGUAACUGGGCAAAUCUUGAGGGUACCUAAACAGAAAGCCCCGGCUAACUACGU
rnacentral:rRNA from 1 species